rnacentral:rRNA from 1 species
UACGGAGGGUGCAAGCGUUAUCCGGAUUCACUGGGUUUAAAGGGUGCGUAGGUGGGUUGGUAAGUCAGUGGUGAAAUCUCCAGGCUUAACUUGGAAACUGCCAUUGAUACUAUCAAUCUUGAAUGCCGUGGAGGUCAGCGGAAUAUGUCAUGUAGCGGUGAAAUGCUUAGAUAUGACAUAGAACACCAAUUGCGAAGGCAGCUGGCUACACGAAUAUUGACACUGAUGCACGAAAGCGUGGGGAUCAAACAGG